GCGUGCCUAACACAUGCAAGUCGAGCGGGGACAUGCGACGGAUAGGUAAGUUUUCGGAUGGAAUUGAAGAUGUAUGUUCUAGCGGCGGACGGGUGAGUAACGCGUGAGCAACCUGUCCUUCACGAGGGGAUAACACAGCGAAAGUUGUACUAAUACCGCAUAAGACCACAGUGAGACAUCUCACAGGGGUCAAAGGAGCAAUCCGGUGAAGGGUGGGCUCGCGUCCGAUUAGAUAGUUGGUGAGGUAACGGCCCACCAAGUCGACGAUCGGUAGCCGACCUGAGAGGGUGAUCGGCCACAUUGGGACUGAGACACGGCCCAAACUCC
rnacentral:rRNA from 1 species